UAACGCGUGAGGAACCUGCCUCAAAGAGGGGGACAACAGCUGGAAACGACUGCUAAUACCGCAUAAGCCCACGGCUCGGCAUCGAGCAGAGGGAAAAGGAGCAAUCCGCUUUGAGAUGGCCUCGCGUCCGAUUAGCUAGUUGGUGAGGUAACGGCCCACCAAGGCGACGAUCGGUAGCCGGACUGAGAGGUUGAACGGCCACAUUGGGACUGAGACACGGCCCAG
rnacentral:rRNA from 1 species